GUGAGUGUGUCUGGGGGAACGAUCGAACAAGGAAGGAGGAGGGGGAAACCCUAAACUCAAGAAAUCAAGCAAUUGAAGCCUAAAAUCAUAAGAAAAUCCAGUGCAUGAGCCAUCUUAUCGAUCAUCUAAGCAUACCUAGUGAAGUGCUUGAAAGAAUAAGAACCAUGUCAAGAUGGACCAACUCAUGGGAAGCAAACGGGUCAAAGAGGAGGCAAAGAAACUAGCAUAAACAUGGCGAGCACAAGGUAAAUCCUCAAUUCAGGCGACUUGGA
rnacentral:lncRNA from 1 species